UUGCUUGCAUGGUCAAUUUGGGCAUCGGUUUGUUAAGCAGCAAAAGCUCGCAUGUUGAAUCUACUCAACUCAAGUAUGUUUCCACCAGAAAACUCAAUCGUGUAGUGUAUUGAAUGACAUGUUUAUUUAGUUUCUACUAAUUAGUUUGGAUAACCUCUGAUCAUCCGAUGAAGUAACUGAGAAGAAAUUUUGGUCAUGUUAUUACUUCCCAUUUUUUAUACCUAUGCAAUUAAUGUUAUUUGUUGCUGGUUUUGCUGUGGCGCCAAGUCUAAAUGAGGGAACCUUGUUUUUAUUCAAAGCAAGAUCCAUGUGUUGACAUAGGAUGGAUUUUGUACAAAAUGCCUAUAAUAUCGAGCUUUUCUAAUAUUCUCUUAACUGAAAAAGGCUGUUGGAUAGAGAGCUAUUAUGAAGAGCAGAAAACUCAUAUAUCAAGUAAUUACAACAUGACAUGCUUCUGGUAGUGCUAACUUCAGCCGUUCAGCGCCUUGUUAUGUAAUACGUGUCGUUAUAUUGGUAGAUGUCAAGUGCUCUUCUCUAUCUCAGUUAUGGUCUGCCUUAGUUUCAGUCUAAGCUAUAUUAAUCAACUAAUUUUGUGGGUAACCUCCUUGUUCGUCUAGGUUUUUUUGGCUACUGUAUCUUCGAACUGACCACUUCUCUUGUAGCAUUUUUCAUCAACACUUCCGGUCUUGUGGCCAUAAACCUCUUUGGUCAUUUUAUGCGAUCUCCUUAUGACUGCAGUAUCAGUACAUCUUAUUUUGCCACAACUGGCAACUGAGUCUUCAUCUUCAAGCAUUGCAGUUUUUACUUCCGCUUCAACAUGUUUCUUGUUCCCAGCAUACAUCUCUCCUUUCUUGUACACUUAUCUUGGUGUAUUCAUCCUCUGAGCCAUCCGAUAAUAUGAUAGAUCUCUAUCAUUUUCUUUUGUCAUUGCAGAGUCCAUGUGAUGUUUAUGUUUUUUUUCUUCACACCCAUCAUCAUGUACUAUAACCCCAUUAGUAUCGUGUGGUUCUUCUUACAUAGAAACAAAUUGUCAUAUCCUUUUCUGAGGUGAAUCUCUAUUGUUAUUUGUCUGCAAAAUAAAAAUACAUUUCAAAGAUUACACGUGUCUCUAAAGUUUGAGAAGUAGUACUCUGAGAAAAUUAAUCACCCUUUAGCCUCUAUGUUAUGCUUCUUUGUUGCUUUUUUGAACACGGCGUCCACUUCAUCAUGCAAAAUUCUGAGAAUCAUAUGUGAGAUGUAUUAGUUAGGAAAAUACAAACACAAUACUUCUUUUGUAAUGGAUAAAGGCAAAUUUUCCUCCUCGGCUUUAUCUUUCAGGUCCACCAUCUCAAGCCUAUCAUCACACACAAAUGUUCUUUUUACUGCAUAGUUUUUUGUUCUGAAAGUGAGAUUGCCAUCGCUGAACAUGAGCUGAAAAUAAGUGUUUGUCAACAUUAUUAUUAUGUAAUCUUUGGCGCUUCUUCAUAUUUCUCAUCCAGUGAAUUUAGCAAGUCCGAGACAAAUGUAUUGAACAAUUUUUCGGCCUCACCGUCAAAUAAAGUGCAACUUGUAGUAGUCGUACAGUCAUUAAUUUAUUGUCAAAUACGAUAACUAUCAUACGAUUGUUAUUAGUGUAGAGUAAAUGUAAUAGGAAAGAAGUCUUCUUCAAAUAUAUGCUUACCGAGGUGAUACAUCAUCUCGAUAUGUAUCACAACUCUCGUAACAGUACUUGUCAACUUCCUUCUUAUCUAGUUUGUGAAAAUCAUCACAUCGCAUAUACCAGCUUUGAAUAUGAUCACUUGUAGCUAUUACUGUGAACACAAAAUCCUAAAAUGAUUUCCCAAAAAUUUAGCAUACCGGAGAAAGUGAGAGACAUAAUUAAGUAGAUAUGCACUAUAACUGAUAUUUACUAAGUUGUCAUUGCAGGUAUUGAGAGUCUGGUUUUCCUCAAAAAGUGGCGAUUUCAUAUCUUAGAAGAAGUCUCGCAUUAGUUCAAAUUUGAACUAAAACCAUCACACUUAUUUUGGAUCGAGGAGUAUGAAUUUGGUAUUGAUUCUUGUGUUGAGUUCCUGCACAUUUGGAGCAAAUGGAGUAUAAUAAUUAUCUUAGAUUGGUGAAUAAAGAUGAGUCAAGAUAAAUUAGCUGAGAAAUAAUAAAAGUUGGUCUUUCAUACCUGUCAACAAUUUCCCAAGUUUAUGGUAUAUCUAGAUCUGUAUAGAUUCUUAUGACACUUGACUUUAAGCAUAGUCAUGUUUAAUCAAAGUAAAUUCUGUUAGACAUAUUUUUAUAAGGGAGAAGUAUAUUUUUUGUCCCUAAACUCUUCUGAAAGUAUAGAAAUAGUCCUUGAAUUCAAAAACCAGCAAAACUUAGUCCCUCAACUUUUCAAACCGGAUUAGUUUAGUCCCUCAUACCGCUUCGAGUGGUUUCCAUCUGAUGUGGACAUGGUUUUGACCAAAAACUUGAAACGUCACCUAGGCUUGAUCGCCACGUCAGUCCAUGUCAUUUUUUUCAAAGCACAGUGCAUGUCACCAAGGGCCCUAGUACUACCAGGCGCGGCGAGUUCGGAUGAGAAGCCGGACAGCGUCGUCCAUGACGGUCAUGCGGCGGAGACAAAGUGCUCGAGCGGCCAGAGGAGCUCGGCGACCCAGGGCGUGGCGUUGGCAGACGAGUUACUUGGCCUCCGUGUUGCACGGGCCGUCGAGCUGCAGCCUGCGCCCAGCGCGACGCCGCUGACCUUUUGGACAGGAGGCCUGAGCAGGAGGAGGAGCUCGAGGCCGCGAGCUCGGACAAGCCCUCCGCGGGCACCUCCACUGACCGCGUUGGCCAUGCAUCCGAUCGUAUGCAGCAGGGUGUAAGGUGCAGUCUAGGGAGCAACACAUCACGUGCGUGUGUAUUCUGGGCGAGAUCGGAUCAGCAUGUUCGUUGUGUUUGGCCUGCAUCUCCUGCGGGCCGAAUCAAUACGUAUGUUCACGUAUACCUACGUGUUUUGCCGGCGGCUAGAAUCAAUCCAGCAGCUAGUCUGCACUUCGUGUUCCUUCCUGGAGCACGCCUGCCUCACAGGAGACCCAAGGCCGCGCCGUGGUGCACCAGCUCAUUGCAGGAGCUCGCGAUCCCUGCUCGCGUGGUGCAGACUUGAGCCACCAGCGGUGGCAGCGACACGAGCAAAAGAGCAGCUUUGGGAGCUUCACGCCGUUGCCCUGCCUCCACCACUCUAACAGACCAAGGGAAUACACAGGCCAUCGUUAAUCAGCCUCAUCAUGGACCACCCGGGCCGACACGCACCGAGCCGCACCACGCCGGCUGCAGGCGCAGCCGUAUUUGCCCGUUGCACACACUGCCGGGCGCCGUUGACACGCACUGCCCGCUCACUGACCAUUAUACCGAGCACCUUUCGUGCACGUGUCCGAGUCAAAAACCACACCGCGUCAGCAGAAAAUCACCCUAAGCAAGAUGAGGGAUUAAACUUAUCCGGUUUUGAAAGUUGAGGGACUAAACUUAUCUGGUUUUGAAAGUUGAGGGACUAAGUUUUGCUGGUUUCGGAGUCGAGGGACCAUUGUUAUACUUUCGAAAGAGUUGAAGGACGAAAAAUAUACUUAUCCCUUUUUAUAAUUAAUAGAAGAGCUUGUAACAUUAAUGAACUUACCAUUGAACUUCUGCACCAGUGAUGAGGAAUGGUUGUGCAUUAUGGACUUAAUCUUAUAUUAGAAUUCAAUCUGGCUGAAAUAUGAAGGUUCGGGGUUAUUUCUUUUUAUUAUUGAUUCCACAUGCUCCAUUUGGGUUGGUAGUCCAAUGACGUCUAUAGAAGCGGAGUUAAUUAUUUGAGAGUUUCAUCUAAUUUUUUUUCCUUUGUAGCAAACUCGAAGUAGUAAACUGGGUAACCUUCUGAUGAUCCUCUCACCUCCGGCGAGCUCCGGCUACCCUGGACCGGGCGCUGCCGAUGCUAGCUCCCCACGCGCCGCUGCCCUGUCUCCAUCCCAUCCUUCCUCUCCCUCCCCCCUCUCCCUCCAUUUCCCUUCCUCCCUCCUUGUGCAGAGAUCCGCAGCCGCUACCUUCUUCGCAGGGCCUCCGGCUACCCUGGACCGGGCGCUGCCGAUGCUAGCUCCCCACGCGCCGCUGCCCUAUCUCCAUNNNNNNNNNNNNNNNNNNNNNNNNNNNNNNNNNNNNNNNNNNNNNNNNNNNNNNNNNNNNNNNNNNNNNNNNNNNNNNNNNNNNNNNNNNNNNNNNNNNNNNNNNNNNNNNNNNNNNNNNNNNNNNNNNNNNNNNNNNNNNNNNNNNNNNNNNNNNNNNNNNNNNNNNNNNNNNNNNNNNNNNNNNNNNNNNNNNNNNNNNNNNNNNNNNNNNNNNNNNNNNNNNNNNNNNNNNNNNNNNNNNNNNNNNNNNNNNNNNNNNNNNNNNNNNNNNNNNNNNNNNNNNNNNNNNNNNNNNNNNNNNNNNNNNNNNNNNNNNNNNNNNNNNNNNNNNNNNNNNNNNCCUUGUGCAGAGAUCCGUCGCCGCUGCCUUCUUCUUCGCAGGGCCAAUGGCCUCCUCGGGCUCAACCUCCAUGUCCAGGAGCUUUGCCAAGAUCUCUGUGCCCUCCGCGCAGAUCGAAUUGAUCCGGCGCGCCUUCAUUAGUCCGCGCCAUUGCUGUCUUCCUUGCCUCCGGCUAGCCGCCAUCUUGCCCCGAUCUGUCACCGUGGGCCGCCGUGUUCCCGUGCACUGUCGUGUUCGCCACCGUGCGCCCCCUCUGCCUCGCUCCCGUGCGGCGCCGUGUUUGCCACCGUGCGUCCCCUCUGCCUCGCUCCCGUGCGCCGCUGUGUUCGCCAUCGUGCGUCCUCGCUUGGACCAGCACCGGCGCCGCCCAAUUUCUGCCGGCCAAACCGCUGCCAGUGGCCCCACCACCACGUGGGGUUGUUAGAUUAGGGUUAAACUUUUUUUGUGAGUUAGAUUAGGGUUAAUCCAUGAUGUGGGUAUUAAUUAGUUAAUUAAUCUGUUAAUGGCAUAUUAAAUCAAUCUAAAAUAAUCAAUCCAAAAUAACUAACCUAUGACAAGUGGACCCAUUCCCUUGUUGACCCAGUCAACUGCUGACCAUUUGUCCUUGACAGUGGGUCCUACAUGUCGCUGACAAAAGGAGGCAGAGGCAAAAUGUCUAGAAAACAUCAAGUAAACGGUCAAACCCCUUUGACCUAACGGAAACGGAACAGAAGGGCAAUUCUGUAAGGGGAACUAACGGCGGAGGGGCAUUUUUGAGCAGGCUUUGGAAUUAGGGGUAUAUCUGAGUAGGUGGUUCGAGUUAGGGACAGAAAUGUAAAUGGCCCUAUUAUCUAUGGAUUCAUUCGAUUUACCGAUUAUGUGUAUGUUUAAGCACUUUUCAGUUUGCAUUUGGCCAUCCAUCUUUUUACUCAUAUCAUAGUAUCUUGGUACAAUUUGCAUUCUUUUCACACAGAAAAGGGUACAAUUUGCAUUUGAUCAGUCGGUUUUUCACCUCAUAGUUUUUCUUGUACACUUCGGCUUCUGAGCCUGAAUGUGCCAUCUGACUCUUCAUAUUCGAAACUACUUCAUUGAUGAUGGUUGUGCCCGACCUUUGUAUGAUAGGUAAAUCGAGUGGCUGAUGCCCUUUCUAAACAUAUGCAUGUUUCGCUAGAUUUAAGCAUCGUCUGAGAAUCGUGCGAUUUCUGUCGUGUGUAUAACACCACUCCUUCAUUUUUUUUGAGCGAAACGGCUACCUAGACAACAGUGCUGCCCGAUCUAUGCAUGACGUGCUAAUCCAGCCGCUGGUGCCCUUCUCAAUCAUGUGCAUGUCGAACCUCAACAAAAUAAAUCAUGUGCAUGUCCGGCUGGAUUUAAGUUCGUGUGUAUAGCACGGCUGUUUUUUUUAGGGAAAGCACGGCUGUUUUUUGAGUUGUGCUCUUCAUCCGGAAGAUAAUUACCACUCCGGAUUUUUUUUCUCUCCAUCUAAAACAGCCCGUACCGGUUCCCGUACUGGCCUUGUGGCCUCGCUCCUCUCUCCCUCCUCUCGUCGAUCCCUAUCCACUCCAAAGAAAAGGAAAAUAACCCCAUCGGCACCUGGUUCUUCAUCCACACGCAUCAUUUCGCCAGAUUUGCUAUCGCCGAAGGUAGAUAUCGCUCGUGGGCAGUGGCCAUCAUUGAGAGUCUACCCCCCUCUAAAAUUUCUCUUCCUGGGGUUGGUGGCGCAGGUGGCCGGGUGAGUGCGUGAACGCGUUUGAUGCGGUCUUCAGGGUGCAGAUGCUCGCCCACCUCGGCGAGUCCGGCGGCGAGGCCAUCAAGAGGUCCGGCGGCUAGUGACGGUGGUGGAUGUGCUGGAGGUUGGUGGCGUUGAGGGGGCAGUAAGGAAGCUGACGGAGAAGGGUGUGGAUUUCCUAGAUGAGUUCGUGCAAUGGAUAAUGGUCGGAUCUGAGGAGCGGGGCAGAGACUUGCACUGCGGCUAUGCUUCAUGAGAGCUAUGGGGUUAUGUAGACAAAUGUGAGAUCGUGCCAUAAGCAAAUGACAUCAAGAUCUGAGCACCGUUGCAGACGGCCUCGAGUUAUUUUCCUCUUCAUCUCCUACAAAAUGUAAGUGCGAGCCGAUCAUAUGCAUCCUUCCUAGUGCAGAUUAUUUUUUUAGUUCCUCCAUAUCACUAUGUAAGUCUGUAGUGUUGUACUCCUUAUUUAUGAAAUUUCUCUUCGUACAGGUUGCUUGCAUGGUCAAUUUGGGCAUCGGUUUGUUAAGCAGCAAAAGCUCGCAUAUUGAAUCUACUCAACUCAAGUAUGUUUCCACCAGAAAACUCAAUCGUGUAGUGUAUGGAAUGACAUGUUUAUUUAGUUUCUACUAAUUAGUUUGGAUAACCUCUGAUCAUCCGAUGAAGUAACUGAGAAGAAAUUUUGGUCAUGUUAUUACUUCCCAUUUUUUUAUACCUAUGCAAUUAAUGUUAUUUGUUGCUGGUUUUGCUGUGGCGCCAAGUCUAAAUGAGGGAACCUUGUUUUUAUUCAAAGCAAGAUCCAUGUGUUGACAUAGGAUGGAUUUUGUACAAAAUGCCUAUAAUAUCG
rnacentral:lncRNA from 1 species